rnacentral:rRNA from 1 species
UUUAUGGAGAGUUUGAUCCUGGCUCAGGACGAACGCUGGCGGCGUGCUUAACACAUGCAAGUCGAACGGAAAGGCCUAGCUUGCUAGGUACUCGAGUGGCGAACGGGUGAGUAACACGUGGGUGAUCUGCCUCGUACUUCGGGAUAAGCCUGGGAAACUGGGUCUAAUACUGGAUAGGACCAUGCUUUAGUGUGUGUGGUGGAAAGUUUUUUCGGUACGAGAUGAGCCCGCGGCCUAUCAGCUUGUUGGUGGGGUAAUGGCCUACCAAGGCGUCGACGGGUAGCCGGCCUGAGAGGGUGGACGGCCACAUUGGGACUGAGAUACGGCCCAGACUCCUACGGGAGGCAGCAGUGGGGAAUAUUGCACAAUGGGCGCAAGCCUGAUGCAGCGACGCCGCGUGGGGGAUGACGGCCUUCGGGUUGUAAACCUCUUUCGCUAGGGACGAAGCUUUUGUGACGGUACCUAGAUAAGAAGCACCGGCUAACUACGUGCCAGCAGCCGCGGUAAUACGUAGGGUGCGAGCGUUGUCCGGAAUUACUGGGCGUAAAGAGCUCGUAGGUGGUUUGUCGCGUCGUCUGUGAAAUUCCGGGGCUUAACUUCGGGCGUGCAGGCGAUACGGGCAUAACUUGAGUGCUGUAGGGGAGACUGGAAUUCCUGGUGUAGCGGUGGAAUGCGCAGAUAUCAGGAGGAACACCGAUGGCGAAGGCAGGUCUCUGGGCAGUAACUGACGCUGAGGAGCGAAAGCAUGGGGAGCGAACAGGAUUAGAUACCCUGGUAGUCCAUGCCGUAAACGGUGGGCGCUAGGUGUGAGGGUCUUCCACGACUUUCGUGCCGUAGCUAACGCAUUAAGCGCCCGCCUGGGGAGUACGGCCGCAAGGCUAAAACUCAAAGGAAUUGACGGGGGCCCGCACAAGCGGCGGAGCAUGUGGAUUAAUUCGAUGCAACGCGAAGAACCUUACCUGGGCUUGACAUAUGCAGGAUCGGCGUAGUGAUACGUUUUCCCUUGUGGUCUGUAUACAGGUGGUGCAUGGUUGUCGUCAGCUCGUGUCGUGAGAUGUUGGGUUAAGUCCCGCAACGAGCGCAACCCUUGUCUUAUGUUGCCAGCACGUGAUGGUGGGGACUCAUGAGAGACUGCCGGGGUUAACUCGGAGGAAGGUGGGGAUGACGUCAAAUCAUCAUGCCCCUUAUGUCCAGGGCUUCACACAUGCUACAAUGGUCGGUACAACGCGCUGCGAGCCUGUGAGGGUGAGCGAAUCGCUGAAAGCCGGCCUCAGUUCGGAUUGGGGUCUGCAACUCGACCCCAUGAAGUCGGAGUCGCUAGUAAUCGCAGAUCAGCAACGCUGCGGUGAAUACGUUCCCGGGCCUUGUACACACCGCCCGUCACGUCAUGAAAGUUGGUAACACCCGAAGCCAGUGGCCUAACCCUUGUGGGAGGAGCUGUCGAAGGUGGGAUCGGCGAUUGGGACGAAGUCGUAACAAGGUAGCCGUACCGGAAGGUGCGGCUGGAUCACCUCCUUUCUAAGGAG